GAUGAAAAGGACUUUGGAAAGAGAGUUAAAAGUGUCUGAAAUUGCUGAAAGGGAAGCGAUUGAAACUUUUGUUUCUCCAGGGUGCCGGUGGUUCUCAGUAUCCUUCUCUCUAAAUCUCCGCCUUGGGGUUUUGGAGUUUUGCUGUUACUGUUUGCCACUCUGAUCCCUGGGGCUUCGUCAGCACCAGUGGUCACCUGACUAUUCUCCCCAAGGAAGGUAGGUCCCUCGUGGGCUGUUAUAGCCUUGGGUUUGGUUCGUUCAGGUGUCUGCUGAGGUGUGUUUUCCGCGUUCGUCGGCUCCACUUUCGAGUACCGUCGUUCUGCGGUGCCGUCCCUAACGGUUUCAACCGACCCGUCUUGAAACACGGAGUCUAACAUAUGUGCGAGUAUGCGGGCGGCAACCCUGUAUGCAUAAUGAAGGUGAGAGUAGGGAGAGGUUUUAUUUUUGCAUUUCUCGCACCUACGACCGACCACGAACUCUGUGAGAGGU
rnacentral:ncRNA from 1 species